AUGGUUGAUUAGCUGGAAUGAGAUCCGUAAAUUGUGGAUCUGAAUUCCUUCCAUGCAAGGCCGAGAGGUUGAGCUAUAAAACCUCCUUGGUAUAACUUGUAUCACUUGCUUUUGGAUGAUAGUAAAGAAUUUCUGCUGAAAUGAAUAGCAAAUUCCUUCUCCAAGAGUCACUUCAAAGCUUGACCUCCAUUGAACCUUUCUUCCUCUUGAGGGAGCCGUCUGAGUUGUGAACCAUUCCACACAAGCUAGCCUCCAUUCCCCUUCCUACUGCAUACACUUUCCGCUGCCAGCCACCACCUCAUAUCCAUCAAACUCCAUUUCC
rnacentral:lncRNA from 1 species